rnacentral:rRNA from 1 species
UACGUAGGGGGCAAGCGUUGUCCGGAAUCAUUGGGCGUAAAGAGCGUGUAGGCGGCCUGAUAAGUCGGUUGUGAAAGUCAAGGGCUCAACCCUUGAAUGCCGGCCGAUACUGUCAGGCUAGAGUCCGGAAGAGGCGAGUGGAAUUCCUGGUGUAGCGGUGAAAUGCGCAGAUAUCUGGAGGAACACCAGUGGCGAAGGCGGCAUCCUGGACCGGCAUUGACGCUGAGGCGCGAAAGCUAGGGGAGCAAACGGG